ACAUUUAGAUCAUGCUAAUCUUGAGAAGCUUAUGAACGAACAGAGGAGGAAGAGAUGUUCCAGUCAAUCUCAUUUGCAUUUAUUUUCUUGCAACCCCUGCCUUUGACACUAACCAGUGGGUGAGUCAGCAGCGCCAUAUGGCAGGGAUACCGGACACGCGCCCGCAAACCCCCUGCCCCUUCCCUCCUCACUUCAUGUCCUCUUCUCUUGGAUCCCCUCUCUCGUCUAGCUCGGCGGGGGCGCCGCCGCUCGCCGUUGCAACACCAGUCAUAGGAAUCGGUGGGAUACGCCAACCCUCAGUCCAGAUCAACAUCCACGCCUCCGGCUCCGACAUGCACGCUAGCUCGACGGGGUCGUGAAUCGCCUCGUUUUCUGGUGCGUUCUUGCUCCUAGGUAGUUCCCCUAGCUCCAUUGUUGCUCGUGUUGUCCCUUCAAUGUUCAUUCUGUGCCCCGACGUGCAAGAACCUCUUGGACCGAGGCCACCUUCCUCGGUUCCCUCGGCCGCCGCGGUCGUCGUCCUGACCGAACAACUCCAGGGACUGUGAGGGGCUCCUCUUUGUCCACAUCUCCUCUGGACCACGGUUUCCUCCUACUUCUUCCUCGAUGCUGACCGCCAUUGCCACUGUCCGGAGCUCGUUGCUCUGCUCUAUCCGGCCUCGCCACUAACAGCAGGGUGAGAAAUUGCCUCUGUUGCUGGUGUUGUUUGCUACUUGCCGAUUUCGCUGCUCUGCUGCUGUCGCUGCAUGCUGCUGACUACUGUUGGUUGCUGACUUGCUGUUGAUGCUUGAUGAUGUUAGCCGUGACCUGUGUGUAGAUGAGAGAAAGAGAGAUUGAUUUGCUAGUGCAAGGAUCUAAUGAGCCAGAUGCCAGCUGGUUUGAUCUUUUCAGCAAACGCUAUUGGGAAGUUGUGAGUGUGGGAGCGACAUUGUUUCUAUUUCAGCAACUUGCUGGCAUAAAUGCUGUCGUGUACUACUCUAGGUCCAUGUUCCGCACAUGCAUUGCAUCUGAUGUUGCAGAGAGUGCUCUUGUUGGUGAUGCCAAUGUUUUUGGUUAGUUCGGUGUUUGUAAAGUGUAUUUUGGCACUAAUUUCCAAUGCCUUCUUUGAGAUGUAUAUAUACUUCUCAUUGGCACCAUGAUUGAAUCUUCACUGAUGGACAAGCAAGGAAGGAAGAGCCUUCUCAUAACAAGAUUUUUUGGAAUGGCGGCGUCGAUGUUACUCUUGUCAUUGUCCUUCGCCUGGAAGGCUUUGGCACCUUAGUCUGGCACUCUUGCUGUUGUUGGCACUAUCCUGUAAGUGGUUUACAUUCACCUAAUAUGGUGUUC